AAGCUCGAUGUUAGAAAAAAAUGUAAAAAAAAAAAAAAAAAAUAGGACAAAUAAUCUUAUAUUUUCUAUAGAC